GACGAAUGCUGGCGGCGUGCUUAACACAUGCAAGUCGAACGGAAAGGCCCUGCUUUUGUGGGGUGCUCGAGUGGCGAACGGGUGAGUAACACGUGAGUAACCUGCCCUUGACUUUGGGAUAACUUCAGGAAACUGGGGCUAAUACCGGAUAGGAGCUCCUGCUGCAUGGUGGGGGUUGGAAAGUUUCGGCGGUUGGGGAUGGACUCGCGGCUUAUCAGCUUGUUGGUGGGGUAGUGGCUUACGAAGGCUUUGACGGGUAGCCGGCCUGAGAGGGUGACCGGCCACAUUGGGACUGAGAGACGGCCCAGACUCCUACGGGAGGCAGCAGUGGGGAAUAUUGCACAAUGGGCGGAAGCCUGAGGCAGCAACGCCGCGUGCGGGAUGACGGCCUUCGGGUUGUAAACCGCUUUCGCCUGUGACGAAGCGUGAGUGACGGUAAUGGGUAAAGAAGCACCGGCUAACUACGUG
rnacentral:rRNA from 1 species